rnacentral:rRNA from 1 species
UACGAAGGGGGCUAGCGUUGCUCGGAAUCACUGGGCGUAAAGCGCACGUAGGCGGCAUCUUAAGUCGGGGGUGAAAUCCUGGAGCUCAACUCCAGAACUGCCUUCGAUACUGGGAUGCUCGAGUCCGGGAGAGGUGAGUGGAACUGCGAGUGUAGAGGUGAAAUUCGUAGAUAUUCGCAAGAACACCAGUGGCGAAGGCGGCUCACUGGCCCGGUACUGACGCUGAGGUGCGAAAGCGUGGGGAGCAAACAGG